GAGUUUGAUCAUGGCUCAGGACGAACGCUGGCGGCGUGCUUAACACAUGCAAGUCGAACGGAAAGGCCCUGCUUUUGUGGGGUGCUCGAGUGGCGAACGGGUGAGUAACACGUGAGUAACCUGCCCUUGGCUUUGGGAUAACUUCAGGAAACUGGGGCUAAUACCGGAUAGGAGCUCCUGCUGCAUGGUGGGGGUUGGAAAGUUUCGGCGGUUGGGGAUGGACUCGCGGCUUAUCAGCUUGUUGGUGGGGUAGUGGCUUACCAAGGCUUUGACGGGGUAGCCGGCCUGAGAGGGUGACCGGCCACAUUGGGACUGAGAUACGGCCCAGACUCCUGCGGGAGGCAGCAGUGGGGAAUAUUGCACAAUGGGCGGAAGCCUGAUGCAGCAACGCCGCGUGCGGGAUGACGGUCUUCGGGUUGUAAACCGCUUUCGCCUGUGACGAAGCGUGAGUGACGGCAAUGGGUAAAGAAGCACCGGCUAACUACGUGCCAGCAGCCGCGGUAAC
rnacentral:rRNA from 1 species